UUAAUGCCACCGGGCACCUUUCAGACACACUUUGGCUGAUCCCCAUCACAUUCCUGACCAUCGGCUAUGGUGACGUGGUGCCGGGCACCAUGUGGGGCAAGAUCGUCUGCCUGUGCACUGGAGUCAUGGGGGUCUGCUGCACAGCCCUGCUGGUGGCCGUGGUGGCCCGGAAGCUGGAGUUUAAUAAGGCAGAGAAGCACGUGCACAACUUCAUGAUGGAUAUCCAGUAUACCAAAGAGAUGAAGGAGUCCGCUGCCCGAGUGCUACAAGAAGCCUGGAUGUUCUACAAACAUACUCGCAGGAAGGAGUCUCAUGCUGCCCGCAGGCAUCAGCGCAAGCUGCUGGCCGCCAUCAACGCGUGAGGGCCGCUUUGUAUGCACACGUGUCCAUGUGCACCCAUGUCCAAGUCACCUCUCUGCACGGCUGUGUGUGUGCGUGUCCAUGCCUGUCUGGGUCAGGACACCCAGGUGUGGUCUCACUCAACAGCUUGUCCACCUGGAUCUGACCAUGCAUGGCUCUAUGUGUCUGUGCUGGUUUGUCUUUGCAUAUCUCGGCGUGUCUGUGGACCUGGGUACCUGGGUUUCUACUGGGGAUGGGGACUUGUGGGGAGGCAGGGUGCAUCCUCUCCCACUCUUUCAGCUCUUUGACAACUUUUUUUCUUUGUUUCGUUUCUUCAUGUGCCUCUCCUCCCUUCAUUCCACCCCUGAGCUACAGCUACAUUCAGGGACCAGGCUUGUAAAACUGACUCCCCACUUCUUCCCACAGGUUCCGCCAGGUGCGGCUGAAACACCGGAAGCUCCGGGAACAAGUGAACUCCAUGGUAGACAUCUCCAAGAUGCACAUGAUCCUGUAUGACCUGCAGCAGAAUCUGAGCAGCUCACACCGGGCCCUGGAGAAACAGAUUGACACGCUGGCGGGGAAGCUGGAUGCCCUGACGGAGCUGCUUAGCACUGCCCUGGGGCCGAGGCAGAUUCCAGAACCCAGCCAGCAGUCCACAUAGCUGGUGAGGGGGCUGGGACUUGGGCAGGAAGGCAUCCUGGAGGCAGGGUUCCUGUGGCCGGCACCCUAUUUGGCUAAGGGGGUGGGGGAUG
rnacentral:sRNA from 1 species